AUUUGGACUGGAUUAUUAGAUUUACAGAGCUAUAUGACCUCUUGUAAUGAAACCAUGGUUGCAAUAGAUACCUUUACCAAUAAAUCAUUGAAUUGAUCCAUUAAAAUCUCAUCGUGUUUGUUGGCAGGGUGGGUUUUGGGUUUGUUGAAAAAAGAAAAUAAAUAUUAAUUCAUAACACACACUGUGUAAAUCUACAUAUUACAUAAUGAUCGUUUAAACAUAGUUUUAAAAGAAGUAACGUUAUAUCAGACGUUCGCCUAUUGAGGUGGUAACCAUAGCAACAUCUCGAGCGGUUUCCGUUAGGACGGGACGUCGCAGGGUGGGAGCUGUCGUAGGAUGCCUUUGAUACAGGUCUGAUGGGGGAACGAGUGAGGAUUUCCUCACAAUUUAACCAACGGCUGAUUAAAGGUAUAUCAAAGAUUCUGGACGAGGCCUGGCGAAAACGAUUACGAGCAAAUCUGCAGGAGGAAAUGGACGGCUUAACCGAUUUCAUACAGGAGUCAUAAAAAUAACAGCAUAUGAGAUUGGGACAUCAUGAUGAGUGAUUUCACCUCUUCAAACCUCCUGACGCCCUGGAGCCAGGAUGUGGGGUUCGCUGGUGGCAAACACUCGACAGCUCUAGCAUUACCUACAGUCUAAAAGAUUUGAAAAUGUCAGUAACAGAUAAAGAAGGGAAACAUUCUAUAUUUGAGUACAACAGUUACAAAUACAGCCAUUCAAAGGAGGCAGUAAAAAUACAGACAAAGAUUCUAGAAUGAAAGUAAAAAAUAUUGGCAGAAACAUUCUAUAGCUGCAGUAACAAAAACAGGCAGAUACAUCUGAGAACAACCUUGAUGAAUACAGUCAGAAACAUUUUAGAAUAACUGUAACAAAUACAGGCAGAAAAAUCUUAGAGCGCUCGUAACAAAUACAGGCGGAAAUGUUCUAGAAUAGCUGUAACAAACAGGCAGAGAAAUCUUUGAACGCUCAUAAAAAAAUACAGGCAGAAACGUUCUAGAAUAGCUGUAACAAACAGGCAGAAAAAUCUUUGAACGCUUGUAACAAAUACAGGCGGAAAUGUUCUAGAAUAGCUGUAACAAACAGGCAGAAAAAUCUUUGAACGCU